GAUUUCUGACUUGGUGCACCUGGCCCGCCACGGUUACGUGUGUGAGUGCCGGGAUGCGCCUGUCACUUUUCUAGUAAACUAUUAUGCUCUUCAUUGAGUGUGAUAGGUAGCUAGAUAUUUUACUUUGAAAAAAUUAGAGUGUUUAAAGCAGGCUUGCGCUAUGAAUAUAUUAGCAUGGAAUAAUAACUUAGGACUUUGGCUUAGAGUUUUAUUUGGUAUUUUGUGGGCUAAAGUAAUGAUUGAUAGGGACAGUUGGGGGUGCUAGUAUUCAGCGGCCAGAGGUGAAAUUCUUGGAUUCGCUGAAGACUAACUUAUGCGAAAGCAUU
rnacentral:rRNA from 1 species